CCUACGGGUGGCAGCAGUGAGGAAUAUUGGUCAAUGGGCGCGAGCCUGAACCAGCCAAGUAGCGUGAGGGAUGACUGCCCUACGGGUUGUAAACUUCUUUUAUAAAGGAAUAAAGUGAGGCACGUGUGCCUUUUUGUAUGUACUUUAUGAAUAAGGAUCGGCUAACUCCGUGCCAGCAGCCGCGGUAAUACGGAGGAUCCGAGCGUUAUCCGGAUUUAUUUGGUUUACAGGGGGCGUAGAUGGGUUGUUAAGUUAGUUGUGAAAGUUUGCGGCUCAACCGUAAAAUUGCAAUUGAUACUGGAAGUCUUGAGUACAGAUGAGGUAGGCGGAAUACGUGGUGUAGCGGUGAAAUGCUUAGAUAUCACGAAGAACUCCGAUUGCGAAGGCAGCUUACUAAACUGCCACUGACAUUGAUGCUCGAGAGUGUGGGUAGCAAACAGGAUUAGAUACCCCUGUAGUC
rnacentral:rRNA from 1 species